UCGGGAAUUUUGGGCAAUGGGCGAAGGCCUGACCCAGCAACGCCGCGUGAAGGAUGAAGUAUUUCGGUAUGUAAACUUCGAAAGAAUAGGAAGAAUAAAUGACGGUACUAUUUAUAAGGUCCGGCUAACUGCGUGCCAGCAGCCGCGGUAAUACGUAGGGACCAAGCGUUGUUCGGAUUUACUGGGCGUAAAGGGCGCGUAGGCGGCAUGACAAGUCACUUGUGAAAUCUCUGGGCUUAACCCAGAACGGCCAAGUGAUACUGUCGCGCUAGAGUGCAGAAGGGGCAAUCGGAAUUCUUGGUGUAGCGGUGAAAUGCGUAGAUAUCAAGAGGAACACCUGAGGUGAAGACGGGUUGCUGGGCUGACACUGACGCUGAGGCGCGAAAGCCAGGGGAGCAAACGGGAUUAGAUACCCAGGUAGUCCCUGAGCGGGCUGGCAAGGCGCAU
rnacentral:rRNA from 1 species